rnacentral:rRNA from 1 species
UCAAGCUGUAAAGGGCGCAAGGGGAAUGCCUUGGCACUGAGAGCCGACGAAGGACGCGACAAGCUGCGAUAAGCUACGGGGAGCCGCAAAUGGGCUUUGAUCCGUGGAUUUCCGAAUGGGGAAACCCGAUGGAGCAAUACUCCAUCAACCAUGACUGAAUACAUAGGUCAUGGUGGGGAACCGCCUGAACUGAAACAUCUAAGUAGGGCGAGGAAGAGAAAUCAACCGAGAUUCCGCUAGUAGUGGCGAGCGAACGCGGAAGAGGCCAAACCGGAGGUAGCAAUAUUUCCGGGGUUAGGACUGCAAUAUGUAACUUUAAUCUUUAACUGAAUGCUUUGGGAAGAGCAGCGAUACAGGGUGAUAGCCCCGUAAGUGAAAAGGAUUGAGUGCUGGCAGUAUCCAGAGUACCAGCGGACACGUGAAACCCGCUGGGAAGAUGGGGGGACCAUCCUCCAAGCCUAAAUACUACUCAGUGACCGAUAGUGGAGCAGUACCGUGAGGGAAAGGUGAAAAGUACCCCGGGAGGGGAGUGAAAAAGAACCUGAAACCUUGUGCCUACAAGCACCGAGAGUCCGUUAAAGGAUGAUCGGGUACUUUUUGUAGAACGGUCCGGCGAGUUAAUAUUUGCAGCGAGGUUAAGGAACUGGAGUUCCGGAGCCGCAGCGAGAGCGAGUCUGAAAAGGGCGUAUGAAGUUGCAGGUAUUAGACCCGAAACCGGGUGACCUAUCCAUGAGCAGGCUGAAGCGGUGGUAAGACACCGUGGAGGGCCGCACCCACGUCUGUUGAAAAAGCCGGGGAUGACUUGUGGAUAGCGGAGAAAUUCCAAUCGAACUCGGAGAUAGCUGGUUCUCCCCGAAAUAGCUUUAGGGCUAGCGUUAUUUUAGAUUACCGGAGGUAAAGCACUGAAUGGUCUAGGGGCCGCGAGGUUACCAAAGCCUAUCAAACUCUGAAUGCCGGAUAAUUGAUGAAUAGCAGUCAGACUGUGUGAGAUAAGUCUCAUAGUCAAAAGGGAAACAGCCCAGAUCUACAGCUAAGGUCCCAAAUGAACACUAAGUGGAAAAUGAUGUGAAACUGCGAAGACAACCAGGAUGUUGGCUUAGAAGCAGCCACUCAUUCAAAGAGUGCGUAAUAGCUCACUGGUCGAGUGGUUUUGCGCAGAAAAUGUAACGGGGCUAAGUGUUCAACCGAAGCUUAGGCAUUGCAGUAAUGCAUUGGGUAGGGGAGCGUCGUAUGCGGGGCGAAGUCAGAGCGGAAGCACUGGUGGACUGCAUACGAGUGAGAAUGCCGGAAUAAGUAGCGAGAAUUAUGUGAGAAUCAUAAUGGCCGAAAAUCUAAGGUUUCUUGGGGAAGGUUCGUCCGCCCAAGGUUAGUCGGGAGCUAAGCUCAGGCCGAAAGGCGUAGGCGAUGCACAUACGGUAGAAAUUCCGUAACCACCGAACAUUUAAGCUAGAGGGACGCUUUCUUUAAGGUUAUCCCGGGCGAUGGUUGCCCCGGGCGUAAGGGACCGAAAUAUAGUAGGGAAGUAACUGGCGAGAGAGACGAGAAAAGCUCUAGUGUAUACUAAGGUGCCCGUACCGCAAACCGACACAGGUAGAUGGGAUGAGUAUUCUAAGGCCAACGGGAGAAGGGUUGUUAAGGAACUCGGCAAAUUGGCCCCGUAACUUCGGGAUAAGGGGCGCCUGCGAGAGCAGGCCGCAGUGAAAAGGCCCAAGCGACUGUUUAGCAAAAACACAGCUCUCUGCUAAAUCGAAAGAUGACGUAUAGGGGGUGACGCCUGCCCGGUGCUGGAAGGUUAAGGGGAGUGCUUAGCGCAAGCGAAGGUGCGAACUUAAGCCCCAGUAAACGGCGGCCGUAACUAUAACGGUCCUAAGGUAGCGAAAUUCCUUGUCAGGUAAGUUCUGACCCGC